rnacentral:rRNA from 1 species
UGGCCCUUAUGGGUAGGGCUUCACACGUGCAUACAAUGGUCGAGAACAGAGGGUUGCCAACCCGCGAGGGGGAGCUAAUCCCAGAAAACCGAUCGUAGUCCGGAUUGCACUCUGCAACUCGAGUGCAUGAAGCUGGAAUCGCUAGUAAUCGCGGAUCAGCAUGCCGCGGUGAAUACGUUCCCGGGUCUUGUACACACCGCCCGUCACACCAUGGGAGUGGGUUUUACCAGAAGUGGCUAGUCUAACCGCAAGGAGGACGGUCACCACGGUAGGAUUCAUGACUGGGGUGAAGUCGUAACAAGGUAGCCGUAUCGGAAGGUGCGGUUGGAUCACCUCC